GAUGAACGCUGGCGGCGUGCCUAAUACAUGCAAGUCGAGCGAACGGACGAGAAGCUUGCUUCUCUGAUGUUAGCGGCGGACGGGUGAGUAACACGUGGAUAACCUACCUAUAAGACUGGGAUAACUUCGGGAAACCGGAGCUAAUACCGGAUAAUAUUUUGAACCGCAUGGUUCAAAAGUGAAAGACGGUCUUGCUGUCACUUAUAGAUGGAUCCGCGCUGCAUUAGCUAGUUGGUAAGGUGACGGCUUACCAAGGCAACGAUGCAUAGCCGACCUGAGAGGGUGAUCGGCCACACUGGAACUGAGACACGGUCCAGACUCCUACGGGAGGCAGCAGUAGGGAAUCUUCCGCAAUGGGCGAAAGCCUGACGGAGCAACGCCGCGUGAGUGAUGAAGGUCUUCGGAUCGUAAAACUCUGUUAUUAGGGAAGAACAUAUGUGUAAGUAACUGUGCACAUCUGGACGGUACCUAAUCAGAAAGCCACGGCUAACUACGU
rnacentral:rRNA from 1 species